GAUUCCCCUAGUAACUGCGAGUGAAGCGGGAAAAGCUCAAAUUUAAAAUCUGGCAGUCUUUGGCUGUCCGAGUUGUAAUCUGGAGAAGCGUUUUCCGCGCUGGACCGUGUACAAGUCUCUUGGAACAGAGCGUCAUAGAGGGUGAGAAUCCCGUCUUUGACACGGACUACCAGUGCUUUGUGAUGCGCUUUCAAAGAGUCGAGUUGUUUGGGAAUGCAGCUCAAAAUGGGUGGUAAAUUCCAUCUAAAGCUAAAUAUUGGCGAGAGACCGAUAGCGAACAAGUACCGUGAGGGAAAGAUGAAAAGCACUUUGGAAAGAGAGUUAAACAGUACGUGAAAUUGCUGAAAGGGAAACGCUUGAAGUCAGUCGCGUCGUCUAGAACUCAACCUGGCUUUUGCUUGGUGCACUUUCUAGUUGACGGGCCAACAUCAGUUUUGACUGCUGGAAAAAUUCCAUUGGAAUGUGGCACCUCCGGGUGUGUUAUAGCCUUUGGUUGUAUACAGUGGUUGGGACUGAGGACCGCAGCACGCCUUAUGGCCGGGGUUCGCCCACGUACGUGCUUAGGAUGUUGGCGUAAUGGCUUUAAGCGACCCGUCUUGAAACACGGACCAAGGAGUCUAACAUGCCUGCGAGUGUUUGGGUGGAAAACCCGAGCGCGUAAUGAAAGUGAAAGUUGGGAUCCCUGUCGUGGGGAGCACCGACGCCCAUACCAGACCUACUGUGACGGAUAUGCGGUUGAGCAUGUAUGUUGGGACCCGAAAGAUGGUGAACUAUGCCUGAAUAGGGUGAAGCCAGAGGAAACUCUGGUGGAAGCUCGUAGCGAUUCUGACGUGCAAAUCGAUCGUCAAAUUUGGGUAUAGGGGCGAAAGACUAAUCGAACCAUCUAGUAGCUGGU
rnacentral:rRNA from 1 species